GCUUUUAUGAAUUCGAAGAAGGGCGCGGAGGUCCGGCUCUGAGGGGCCCAGGCGCUGAGCCUUAUCUCAACUCCAGCAGAAGGAGGACGGCUCCUCCCUGCGGUCUCCAGGCGCGCACACGUCCACCCCCCUGCCCCCGGCACAGGCAGCCAGCAUUCCAGGAAGCUGGGAACAUGUGCCUCUCCUGGACAGAGCGUGUGCUCCUGGUCUGGUGGCUGCAGAGACCUGUGCUGCAAACAGUGGGUGGCAGCCAUGGGGAGCAGGCUGGAGCCGAGGGCCCGUCCUCCCAUCAGGACCUGCCUUGGGAGGCAGGGACCUCGCUCCUGGGGGGAUCCGUGCCGAGGUGGGUCCAGGCAUCCUUGGAAUCCUGGAACCACUCCUCAGCACAGCCACCCCAACCAGUGCAAAUGGCAUCCCCCAAGACCAGGACAGCUCCGCCCAGCUCACCCCGGAGUCGCCCAUCCCUAGAACGAUGAACUCAGAUAUCAACUCUGGAAGGUCCCUGAUUGACAGAUGGGGAAACUGAGGGCAGCAACCCUCACGAGGUCGUCCCAGCUUGAACCCGAGCUGGUGCCUGGGAGCCCCGGACCCUCACUGUGCUGCCCAACCUGGGACGCCAAGGCCACGUGCUUCCCUGCUGUUAAGAGGUGAGUCUCAGGCGGUGGGGCUCCAGCCACAGUCUGGCCUCGCCCAUGAGGGUGAACAUCACCCAGGACCCCCUCCUCCGUGUCAGCAAGCCCCCAGGACUGUUGGGAAGCUGGGGACACGCAGGGCAGCCAGCACGGAUGGCUCCUGCCCACGGAGAGAGGAGGUGGGAGACAGGGCCUGAGUCCAGGCCCUGGGAGCAGGAUAAGGGUCCGUCCUGCUCAGGGACCACCGAGCAGCCUCCCUGGGGAGGGUGUGGGACUGCAUCUGAGGGUCAAGGAGGAAGCAGCUCAAGCGAGGGAGGAAGUUCCUGGGAAGGCACCUCUGAGCCGAGCUCCGGGACCAGGCGGCCCCACUGCCCGGCACUCCUGCUAAGUGUCCCUGCGCCAACCACCCCAGGAGGAGCAUCCACGGUCUUUGAAUGGCCAGCCUAUUGCAUUCUGCUCUGAGCUGAGUUCUGGUGACACCUCACCUCCAAGCCUUUAUCUCCUAACACUCUGAUCAGACCCAUUUUACAGAGGCGAGGACUGGGGCACAGAAGGCUGAGGAGGUUUGCAAGGGCCAGCGGCUGGCGAGCGGAGCGCCAGGCUGUGUCUGGCUGCAAAGGGUGUUCUCAACUCGGUCACCCCUGCCCUGUGCCCUCUGCCCGCCCCGCCGGCCUGAGCCCUCAUCUGCGGAUCUCCCAGGCUCGCCCCGCAGUGGGAGCACGCCCGGGCCCCUGCUCUUUCUCUUUGCCUCGUGACCGCUUCCCAUGCUUCCAGGUCCGAAGAAGGGGAUCGCUUCCAGGAAGCCCACCUGGAUGUCAGCCACUUAGGUCCCAAGGGUGGAGGGGGUCGAGGAUCACUUGGGGUUGUGGGCUGACACGUGGGCACCUCGCCCACAGGAUUUUGACUUUUCCUGCUGAAGACGUUUACGGACCUGGUGACCCAGAAAAGGAUGGGGAGGGAGGGGCAGCCGGGAGAGCGGAGCAGAGCGGAGGGUUUCCAGAAACUGCUGGCACCGGCUGGGCAAGGCCUGGGAACAUGGUAGGCAUUUCAUAAUGGCUCAGACCACAUCCUGCCUCGAGGCAGGGACAUGUUCGGGACCCUGUGAAUGCAGAGGCCGUCCCCAUCAGGUAAGCAGGAAAGGUGCUUGCCCUCCCACCCCCAGCAGAAAAUGUCCACGAGGUCCUGGCCCGGGUCACAGGGCAGAGGUCAGAUCCUAAGGCCAGGCUGCUGCCCCAGCUCCAGGUGCUAUGCUGGUGUACACAGCAGGCACUCCAUUCUUGCUUUUUGUAUGAACAAGUGUGCUGGCUGUCCCGCCCUUCUCCCCACCAGGGGAUGGCCGUCUCUUCACCCCUGAAUCCUCACCCAUUACCCAGAGCAGGGCGUGGACACAGCGGGCGCCAGCUACCCUGACCGCUGAAGGGACAGCCCACAGGGUCUCUGCGUCCACACAGACCUGCAGUGACCGAUCGAGGGCCUUGCAGUGUGGGGGAGGGGCGCCCCCUGCACCUGCCCCGCAGCUCCAGCCCCGUCUACCCAGACACAGGUCUGUGGGAGAGAGUGGUUAUUCUAAAAAACAGCUCUGCCAGCAACAGAUGCACAGACAAAAUGUGGUCCGACCUACGAUGGAAUAUUAUUCAGCCUUAACAAGGGCGAACAUUGGGCAUCCGUAGGUCUUCUUUGGCAAAAUGUCCAUUGAGCUCUUCUGCCCCUUUUGCUUCGAUUGGUUGGUUUGUUUUGUUGUUGUUGCGUUGUAUGAGUUGUUUGUAUAUUUUGGAGAUUUGGCCCUAGUUGCUUGCAUCAUUGGCAAAGAUUUUCUCUGAAACUGUCGGUUGUGUUUUUGGAGGAAGUGGGAUGGACGGGGAGUUUGGGGCUGGUGGACGCGAACCAUGACAUUUGAAUGGAUAAGCAGUGAGCUCCUGCUGUACAGCACAGGGAACUCUAUCCAAGCUCUUGAGAUGGAACAUGAGGGAAGAUAAAAUAAGACAGGGAAUGUAUAUCUAAGUAUGACUGGGUGGCUCUGCUGUACGGCAGAAAUUGCGCGAUAAAUCAACUACACUGAACAUAAAAGACUUUUCUUUAAAAAAAGGAAGGACGUGUUGACACAGGCUACAACACGGAUGAACCUUGAGGAUACUAUGCUGAGUGAAAGAAGCCGGUCACAAAAGGACAAACCGUGUAUGACUCGACUCAGUUGAGGCCCCCCGAGGAGUCAAAUUCAUAGAGUAGGACGGCGGGGGCCAGGGGGCAGGAGGGGUUAUGGCUGGAAAGGUACAGCGUUUUUGCUGGAGGCAAAGACAGUUGUAAGAGAUGACAAGGUUAGUUAGCCUACCCUGCAGUAUGUGUCCCGCCACUGAGUUAUAUGCUCACAAAUGGUUAAAGUGAUAAAUUUUAUCCUGUUAAAUUUUAAUACAAUUUAAAAAAACAAAAGCAGCCAUGACUUCAAACAGGCCUCCACCAGGUGUGAGCUGUGUGGCCACGGGCAAGUUACCUCCCCUCUCUGUUCCCUGUGUGUGGCGUGAGAACCACCGAAGCGCCUUCCCUGCAAGGCUCCCAUGGGAGCUGCUGCCUGAGCAGGUGGGUGCUAAGCACCCACAAGUGGCAUCUUAUCUGAUGACCUUGGUGGGCCUCCCUGCAUCCCAGGAGUGUGGGGGGAACCAGACCCUGAUUUGGGCUCACAGGGCAAAGGGUCAGUUCUGAGCGUACCUCCGGGGCCUGUCCCUCUGGGCCCCAGUUUUCUUGUCUGUCAAAUGAAAGCUUAGCAUCUGUCCCACCAACGUCACAGGGGUGGCAGGAGGUACCAGCCAGGCUCCAGAGUCAGCCCAGGGUCUCCCUCAGGGGCACAGCUCCCCACUUCCCGGAGCAGCGAGGCAGGGGCCUCUCCCAGCAGGCCAUGACCUUCCCCUUCUCUGUCUGGCCCUCCACCUCCGCCCUCAGGCCAGCAGCUCCUCAAGGGCACAUAGCCUGUCUGAACCAUCCCUCUUUCCCAGCUCCUCGUUGCACAUGGUGCUUAAUAAAUGCCCGGGGCAUGAAGAAAGCCCCUUCUAGCUCAGCCAUCCUGCCCCUGACUCAGAAACACUAUGAGGUUCAGGCGGAAGCCCGGGUUUCCGCAAAGCAGCGCCCUUCCCUGGACUGGACGAUGGGCCAAGAAGGCACAGACAGAAAAUGUUCUUGGGCCCCCACACCUCCACGACAGGCCAGAGGAAAUGCCCUCUCUGCCCGCGAACAGAGGCUAACGUGGUCGGUGCCCACCUUGCCUCCGUCUCCCCAGUUCUCCUCCGCACAGAGAAACACCUCUUUCCAGAAGAAUGAUCCCAAAAAGAAUAGGGGGAGGAGAAAAAGAGAAAGAAAGAAAGAAGGAAGGAAAGAAAGAAGGAAGGAAAGAAAGAAGGAAGGAAAGAAAGAAGGAAGGAAGGAAGGAAGAAGGAAGGAAGGAAAGAAAGAAGGAAGGAAAGAAAGAAAGAAAGAAAGAAAGAAGGAAGGAAGGAAGAAAGGGAAGAAAGAAAGAA
ensembl:lncRNA